UUACAUUUAACAAUUUUCAAGGCAUUGCAUAAGUACAUUUGGAACUUGCAAGAAGUCAGCAAUUUGUUUUUAGACACAUGAAGACUAAGUUGUGAUGAAUUAAUAAACUCAGAGGCUGUUGUGUCAAUUCACUCUGAAAGAUCUCACAUUACAAACCUAAUGGAACAAAAAUUGUUUUAGCAGUUAAAACCAAGAGAAAUACAAAAAGCUCUUUAUCCCCGGUUUCUUCCCCUUGGAAUUUCCCUAGGGAACCGAUGAGGACAGUGGAAAAACACCACACUUCUCAAAGCAAGUUUCUUACUUUUUAAGUGUUACAAGUUCACGGUGGAGUGUUUUUUUCCCCCUAAAUUUAGUGGAUGUGGUUUUGAUACCAUAGCUUUAAUUCACAGUUGCCUUGGUAAAUGAGGGCCUUUCUCACCUGGAUUUGGGGAUUAAACUGUGAACUCCCCGUGGGCAGGAGCUGUGAUCAAUAACCUUUGUACAUUUCCAAAAUCCAAAGGAGAGAAUUAGAUGAAGGACAGAUUAAGACCUUUUGUUUUCAGGCACCU
rnacentral:lncRNA from 10 species